rnacentral:tRNA from 1 species
CAUUAGAAAGCUAAAGAGGGCAUAGCGUUAGCCUUUUAAGCUAAACAUUGGUGAUUCCCAACCACCUCUAAUGA